ACAUUGACAAAGUUGGUGAAAUUUUUUGUGGGAUUGCCAUCUAGCUGGACUCUAAAAGUUGCACGAGUGCCUAAAUUCUCAUUCUAGAGCAAUAUUUUCGGGAGAGGUGCAACUGUGUAGUGGAAGACCCUAAACCACUAUUCUUCAAGCUACUAUCAAACCAUUUCAGGAUAUAUACAACAGAUACAACAACCAGAUUGUAAAGGAUCAAAGGUAUUUGUAUACUAAAGAAUAGGGGAUUACUAUUGUAAGAUUUCCAUUGGCAAAGAUGAUGACAGCAUGUUGCAAAGGCAACACCUCUCAGGCUGCAAUUGUCUCCUGGUCCAUUAUGUUGCUGAAUGAGGCAGCACCUUAAGGUAAAGUCUGCAAGCACAAUUUAAAUAUGAAAUAAGGAAUGCAGUGAAUUCCCGAAGCCAGUAAUGCUGACAAAGUUAUCUUCACAUGCAUUCCCUAGUUAAUUAUUGGGUGACAAACUGAAUUUGCCAACCUGUGGCAGGACCACAUAGAUGUUUCCCAAUUGCCAGGAAGAAACACCCCCUAAAAGUCUAUACAUUAUUCAAGUCCAAAUCAUCAACUGCAAUAGUUAAUUUAGACAUUAGAUGCGCAAGGGGGAUGUAACUGACAGUAUUCAAUAAAUACAUCUAUGCAUGUAAUGCGAAAUAUUGUCUGCUUAUCAUGUUAACUGUGUUAGAAAACCAAAUGAGCUCCCAUUGAAAAUAGCCUUCAUUAGUUUAAUAGUGAUUAUGUAAGGAACUCAAGGCCCCUGCAAGGUCCCCUGACCACUUGGCCCUCUAGCACUAUUACAACACAAUUUGUUUAAUGAACUUUCAACAUGCAAGAGCAAUUUGAAGUUGGACCAAUGCAGCCCAUGGAAAAAGCAUUAUGCCAUUACUUACCUGGUUAUAGUAUAAAACUCGACAAUCCUCUUAACUUGAUGGUGAAGCCUUUCAACAUAUUGCUAUGAAGGGUAAGGGACCAUAGCUAAUGGAUUAUGGAUGAUUGCAAUACUUCAUGAACCCACAUCUUAAAAGGGAGCCAUGCCUCAGCCAUUGGAGCUCAUUGCAAAAGAAAUUCUUUCUAAAUGGUAUUCCAUCAUUUCACAGAGACAAUCAGAACUUCGUGGCUGUCACUCGUGCCAGAUUGUGUGUGGUGUUGACAACCUACUUUUUGCUUGGUGAUUCGACACCUCACUUUUUUGGCUUAGUAGUGUAGACAACUUGAGGAAAAUACAGAACAAAUAGACAAACUUGUUCAGUUGCUCCUGUUAAUUUGAUUACAUAUUCUUGGGACCUAAGUGCUAAUAUACUGGUCACCUUCUGAUAUUGGUUGGAAUUCACUUUCUUUUCUGCUUCAGAAUACAUAUAGUAAUCAAUAAAAAAAAGUCAUAUACAAAAUCACUGAUUGUAUAGCAUUAAUGGGUACAGUUACUCUACAAAUGGAAAAACAAUAACAUGUCAAACUUUCAGAUGCAAAUGCUGACAUCUGCGGUGUGCAUUCCACAAUUCAAAGGCUGUUAAAAUUUUCAACACACUUUGAAUGGAGGAAUGAUGCACCCCAGCCAUGUGAUUUCACAUCUGAAGGUUUGGGGUGUAGUUAAUUCUCCAACCAAAAAGUAACUGCACUCAUUGUAUCUGAUCCCAUUUUAAAUUAUUUUUUAUUCUUGGUUUGCCAAGGAGGAUUUGAUUCUUUGCUACUAAAAAUGUGACACAUAAUGUUUUCUUCAAUAUUAUUUCACCUGAACAUAUUUAUAUGCAAAUUUGACUUGAUAUGAUAAAAAUAAAAUAAUGAACUCUAAUGCUGUCACAGGUCCGGCAUUAUAAUCAAGCAAUGCAACCUGAUUUAAAUUGUGACAUGGGAAAUGUGCACAAGAGUGAAAUUGGAGAGAACAUCAGAAGGAAAGAUAAGAUACAAUUUCUUAUCAAUACACUUCUUCAUUUGAAAGAAUCUAAAGAUGCCGUUUAUGUUGCUCUUGAUGCUUGGGUUGCAUGGGAAAACAAGUUCCCCAUAGUUUCACCGAAGAGAGCACUGGCUAUUCUUGAGAAGGAGCAACAAUGGCACCGAAUUAUUCAAGUGCAUAUGGAGCACUUACGGGUGGUGUUUUACUUGAUACGGGUUAUGUUGUUUCAGCCGAGGGGAUUAAGAUUGACCAACGGAAGGUAACAUUUAUCAGGGAUUGGCCUACUCCUAUUACAGUGCAUUAUGUUCGCAGUUUUCAUGGGUUGGCUACUUUUUAUGGGAGGUUUAUUAGAGGCUUUAGUUCAAUCAUAACUCAUAUCACAGAUUGUCUGAAGAAGGGGGAUUUGUAUGGACUGAUGAAGCUGAGAAAAUUUUUCAGUUGGUGAAUCAGAAGAUAACUUCAGAUCGGGAUACGAAGUUUCUCAACCAUUUUUUGGGAACUUUGUGGAAGAAAUUGGGCACUCGGUUACAAUUUAGCAGUGCUUAUCAUCCGUAGACAGAUGGCCAGACUAAAGUGGUAAACCGUACUCUUGGCAAUCUUUCGAGAAGUAUUGUGAGGUAAAAGAAGAAACAAUGUGACCUAACACAACCUCAAACCGAGUUUGCCUAUAAUAGAGUAUUCAAUAGAUCUACUGGAGGAGUCUGAGGGUAAGCUGAAGGGAAUCUUGGGCUACAUUCAGGAUGACGUGGGCUCCAUCAACUUUGUUGUGGAUUGCAGGACAAGUUUGAGGGUAAGCUGAAGGGGCUACACAAAGGAUGAUGCAGACUGACUUUCUUGUUAAUAGCAAUAAUCACAUUGACAAAGUUGGUGAAACAUCUUGUGGAUGGGCUCUAGAAGUUGCAUGAGAGUGCUUCAAUUCUCAUUCUAGAAGCAAAUAUUCAUUUGAAAGAAGUCCAGGAUGAAGGCGAGGAAGAUGAGGAUGAUGGAAUUGAAGAUGUUGAUGAAAAUGAAUGUGAUGAUGAGAAUGAGGAUGCAAGUUCCCCCCCCCCCGAGCCCAGGCGGCCGCCGCAUGAGAGUGAUUACAUUGACAAUGUGACAAUAUUUUGAAGACUGGAAGUGUCUGCCUAUGUGGCGAAUUGGCCAAUCAAUUAUUGUUGAUUUGGUUAUUUUAGGAUUCUGAAGAGGAUGAUCAUGAAGAAACAAAGGAAGAAUUUCUGGAGAGAUACGCACUGGUAGCUCAUGAAUUGGAGAGUUAAACGAUUGAAGAAGAUGAGGAUCAUGUAGAUGAUGAGACCCAUAAAAUUGAAAUAGGUAAACCUUGUCCUCUUUCCUUUUGUUGCAAAUUGAACAAUGACUCUCGUCCUAAUUAUUCUUUCAUUCUAUCUUGCUUAUUUGCCUAGUCUGAUUCCUGAGGCUCUGUAACAAUUGAAUAUGAUCUGGGAGGAUUGGAUUAGCAAAGAGAUGUCUUCUUGAUAAAAGAACAUCAGCAUCUCCUUGCAUUUGGACAGCGGAUACGUUUUGAACAUAUUUCAAGUUUCACUGAAUGCUUCCCUAAAUGUGUUCGAGUCUUUACAGCCUCCUGUUGAGAAGUUGCAUGUAUUUUAUUUGAGUGAGUUUGUAGUCUUCUGGAUUUGUCAUUUCGGUUAUAUUUGAUUUAUUUUGUAGUCUUUGCUAGGCCCUAGGUAUUUUUGGAGUAAUUGAUUUAUUUGCUGUGCUUCUUGCUUGCCCUAUUAUUUGUGCAUAGAUCUACAUUGCCAACA